rnacentral:rRNA from 1 species
CCUACGGGUGGCAGCAGUGAGGAAUAUUGGUCAAUGGGCGGGAGCCUGAACCAGCCAAGCCGCGUGAGGGAAGAAGGUACAGCGUAUCGUAAACCUCUUUUGUCAGGGAACAAAGGCGGGGACUAGUCCCCGGAUGAGGGUACCUGAAGAAAAAGCAUCGGCUAACUCCGUGCCAGCAGCCGCGGUAAUACGGAGGAUGCGAGCGUUAGCCGGAUUUAUUGGGUUUAAAGGGUGAGCAGGCGGUCUGUUAAGUCAGCGGUCAAAGCCCGGGGCUCAACCCCGGCCCGCCGUUGAAACUGGCAGUCUCGAGUUGGAGAGAAGUAUGCGGAAUGCGCGGUGUAGCGGUGAAAUGCAUAGAUAUCGCGCAGAACUCCGAUUGCGAAGGCAGCAUGCCGGCUCCACACUGACGCUGAGGCACGAAAGCGUGGGUAUCGAACAGGAUUAGAUACCCCGGUAGUC